UUAUCGUUUAUUUGAUAGUACCUUACUACAUGGAUAACCGUGGUAAUUCUAGAGCUAAUACAUGCUAAAAACCGCGACUUCGGAAGCGGUGUAUUUAUUAGAUAAAAAACCAAUGCCCUUCGGGGCUGCUUGGUGAAUCAUAAUAACUUCACGAAUCGCAUGGCCUUGCGCCGGCGAUGGUUCAUUCAAAUUUCUGCCCUAUCAACUUUCGAUGGUAGGAUAGAGGCCUACCAUGGUUUCAACGGGUAACGGGGAAUUAGGGUUCGACUCCGGAGAGGGAGCCUGAGAAACGGCUACCACAUCCAAGGAAGGCAGCAGGCGCGCAAAUUACCCAAUCCCGACACGGGGAGGUAGUGACAAUAAAUACUGAUACAGGGCUCUUUCGGGUCUUGUAAUUGGAAUGAGUACAAUUUAAAUCCCUUAACGAGGAACAAUUGGAGGGCAAGUCUGGUGCCAGCAGCCGCGGUAAUUCCAGCUCCAAUAGCGUAUAUUAAAGUUGUUGCAGUUAAAAAGCUCGUAGUUGAACCUUGGGCCUGGCUGGCCGGUCCGCCUCACCGCGUGUACUGGUCCGGCCGGGCCUUUCCUUCUGGGGAGCCGCAUGCCCUUCACUGGGCGUGUCGGGGAACCAGGACUUUUACUUUGAAAAAAUUAGAGUGUUCAAAGCAGGCCUUUGCUCGAAUACAUUAGCAUGGAAUAAUAGAAUAGGACGUCGCGGUUCUAUUUUGUUGGUUUCUAGGACCGCCGUAAUGAUUAAUAGGGAUAGUCGGGGGCAUCCGUAUUCAAUUGUCAGAGGUGAAAUUCUUGGAUUUAUUGAAGACGAACUACUGCGAAAGCAUUUGCCAAGGAUGUUUUCAUUAAUCAGUGAACGAAAGUUAGGGGAUCGAAGACGAUCAGAUACCGUCGUAGUCUUAACCAUAAACUAUGCCGACUAGGGAUCGGUGGAUGUUAUCUUUUUGACUCCAUCGGCACCUUACGAGAAAUCAAAGUUUUUGGGUUCUGGGGGGAGUAUGGUCGCAAGGCUGAAACUUAAAGAAAUUGACGGAAGGGCACCACCAGGCGUUAACGCAGUUCACUCUGCGCUUGAAAGGAGCCCGCGAGGGUGAGUGGUUGCCGGCCUUAAAUCCUAGUCCCUUCCCGGAGGGGCGACAUCGUCAAAUUGCGGGGACCCCGUGAAGCAUUGCAGUACCAAGUUGGCGCCGCGAGGCGCCGAUGGCCCGACCUAAUCAUUCGGGGUACGGUAACAAUCUGCUCUGUAUACGGCUAUCCGCAGCGAAGCCUCUCCCCGAGAGGAACGUUCAACGACUAAAUGGCGAUGGGUCCGAGAGGUGGAUUUCCAUCAACACCUCCGGGCUUAAGAUAUAGUCUAGUGCGUCCGCGAGAGCGGGCGUAUCGAUCGAAUCGAUGUGAAAACGGGAGCCUGCGGCUUAAUUUGACUCAACACGGGGAAACUCACCAGGUCCAGACACAAGUAGGAUUGACAGAUUGAGAGCUCUUUCUUGAUUUUGUGGGUGGUGGUGCAUGGCCGUUCUUAGUUGGUGGAGUGAUUUGUCUGCUUAAUUGCGAUAACGAACGAGACCUUAACCUGCUAAAUAGCCAGGCCCGCUUUGGCGGGUCGCCGGCUUCUUAGAGGGACUAUCGGCUCAAGCCGAUGGAAGUUUGAGGCAAUAACAGGUCUGUGAUGCCCUUAGAUGUUCUGGGCCGCACGCGCGCUACACUGACAGGGCCAACGAGUUCAUCACCUUGGCCGGAAGGUCUGGGUAAUCUUGUUAAACCCUGUCGUGCUGGGGAUAGAGCAUUGCAAUUAUUGCUCUUCAACGAGGAAUGCCUAGUAAGCGCAUGUCAUCAGCAUGCGUUGAUUACGUCCCUGCCCUUUGUACACACCGCCCGUCGCUACUACCGAUUGAAUGGCUCAGUGAGGCCUUCGGACUGGCCCAGGGAGGUCGGCAACGACCACCCAGGGCCGGAAAGUUGGUCAAACUCGGUCAUUUAGAGGAAGUAAAAGUCGUAACAAGGUCUCCGUAGGUGAACCUGCGGAGGGAUCAUUAAAGAGUGAGGGCCCCCGGUCCGACCUCCAACCCUUUGUGAACUACAACCCGUUGCUUCGGGGGCGACCCUGCCGUUCGCGGCGUCGGCGCCCCCGGAGGAUCAUUAACACUGCAUCAAUGCGUCGGAGUAAAUCAGUUAAUCUGAACAAAACUUUCAACAACGGAUCUCUUGGUUCUGGCAUCGAUGAAGAACGCAGCGAAAUGCGAUAAGUAAUGUGAAUUGCAGAAUUCAGUGAAUCAUCGAAUCUUUGAACGCACAUUGCGCCCCGUGGUAUUCCGCGGGGCAUGCCUGUUCGAGCGUCAUUUCACCACUCGAGUCUGACUCGGUAUUGGGCGUCGCGCAUUGCCGCGCGCCUUAAAGUCUCCGGCUGGGCGGCCCGUCUCCGAGCGUUGUGACAUCACAGUUUCGCUAGGGAGUCGCGGGCGGCGUUGGCCGUUAAAUACCCCAUCAAAGGUUGACCUCGGAUCAGGUAGGGAUACCCGCUGAACUUAAGCAUAUCAAUAAGCGGAGGAAAAGAAACCAACAGGGAUUGCCCUAGUAACGGCGAGUGAAGCGGCAACAGCUCAAAUUUGAAAUCUGGCGCAAGCCCGAGUUGUAAUUUGUAGAGGAUGCUUCUGGGUAGCGGCCGUUCUAAGUUCCUUGGAACAGGACGUCAUAGAGGGUGAGAAUCCCGUAUGUGACCGGCGCGCACCCUCCACGUAGCUCCUUCGACGAGUCGAGUUGUUUGGGAAUGCAGCUCUAAAUGGGAGGUAAAUUUCUUCUAAAGCUAAAUACCGGCCAGAGACCGAUAGCGCACAAGUAGAGUGAUCGAAAGAUGAAAAGCACUUUGGAAAGAGAGUUAAAAAGCACGUGAAAUUGUUGAAAGGGAAGCGCUCGCAACCAGACUUCGUGGCGGUGUUCCGCCGGUCUUUUGACCGGUCCACUCGCCGCCGCGAGGCCAACAUCGUCUGGGGCCGCCGGAUAAGACCGCAGGAAUGUGGCUCCCUCGGGAGUGUUAUAGCCUACGGUGAUGCGGCGUGCCCCGGGCGAGGUCCGCGCUUCGGCAAGGAUGUUGGCGUAAUGGUUGCCAGCGGCCCGUCUUGAAACACGGACCAAGGAGUCUAACAUCUAUGCGAGUGUUCGGGUGUCAAACCCCUACGCGUAAUGAAAGUGAACGGAGGUGGGAGCUUCGGCGCACCAUCGACCGAUCCUGAUGUCCUCGGAUGGAUUUGAGUAAGAGCAUAGCUGUUGGGACCCGAAAGAUGGUGAACUAUGCCUGAAUAGGGUGAAGCCAGAGGAAACUCUGGUGGAGGCUCGCAGCGGUUCUGACGUGCAAAUCGAUCGUCAAAUUU
rnacentral:rRNA from 1 species